CACCUCCCGCCGCCCCCGCGCACCGCUUCCGCGCCGCUCGUGGCGAUGGAGCCUGCUGGCUCCGGCCCGGCCCGGCCAGCCCGGCGGGGGGAAAGCGCCGUGGGCGCUGCGCGGCCCGAGCCCGUGCGCGCCGCCCGUCGGGGCUGAGGGCCUGUGCGCGCCCGGGGGGCGGCACUUACUUACCGCAAAGUAACUUUACGCGUGAGUUUCUGAGGCACUGCCCGCCGCGGAGUUAAGGCACGGUUGUGAGCAGCUGCAUGGAGAGCAGCAGUCAUUCUUGUAGCACGCAGUAUCUUAAAGUGCUCAUGUCGCUUAAUUCACGUUUAAUGAUGCUUAACAUCCCUUCUUCUGGCUGUUUUUAUCAGAGCAUCCCUAGACAGGUUUUUGCGGCUGUGGCUCGUAUUGCUUUUCAUGGACUAAUUUGGAGUGCACCGAGAGGUUAAAGUGCCCCUGUGGAAAGAGGGUCCCUACUCUGAGGAGCUUUUGGUCCCAGUGUUACCCGUGCUAACCCGCAUAUGUGAACUCACAUCUGUGCCUGCAAGGUUAGGCCCUAAAUCACGUUGCAGCUCCAUUGGUGAAGUUAAAAGGAGAACAUCGUAUCGCAGCAAAACUACAUCUGAAACAGUUUGGAGUAUUAAGCAGAUUUCUGAGGUGCCUUGUGACACUGAAUGUCUGGUUUUAGUCUUUAGAUCCAGUGAGGAAAAAAUAGAGAUUUCCUUCAAAUUCAGUAUAUUUCCUGCUGAUCUUCAUCUACGCUCUACAGUAACCAAAAUCAGAUUGACCUGUUGACCGAUAAUCUAUCUUAUAGCUCCAAAGCUUGUUGAAAAUUUCAUUUUCAUAAUUAUUAUAGGAUUAAGUGUGUAACAAGUUAGGAUUGGUCAGAAAACAGCAGUUCUGUGGGGGCGGAAGGUGUGAGGUUUGGAUAUUGGUUGUUAGUUGUCAUCAAAGUGAAAACUAGAGCUUCUAAAUGUUUUUGGGAAAAAAAACAAAGCCCAGGCAGAGCUACUCGCUUUGGAAUAAUCACUAGCUCUGCAGCUGGGAGAGGAUGAGGCAGAACAGGUAGCCGUCUCAGGAGAGCUUGCUUCCCAGGCAUGCGUACUGACUACCUGCCAUUAGUGGUGAGAGCGUUAAUAGAACCUCAGUUAAAAUUUCAUCUUAAUGUUCUUUCUAGCAAAAUAUUGGACAAGAACAGUAUAUUUACAUAAAAACUCCGAAGAAAACCAUGAAUUCAUGAGCGGCUCCAGUAGCAAGUAUUUCCUUUGAAAAAGAUGCUCUGGUGUCCUGUGCUAGACACAAGUAGUUGAAGAUAUUUCUGUAGACUAAAGGGACAGAAUGUAUUUUUUGGAUGAUUGUGACUACUACACUGAUAAAGGGCAGAGCAAACCAGCAGUCACCUGCAUAAGAAAUGAACGCUGUUUUGUCUUAGUGAAAUCAGAAUCUGUAGUUUAUAUUUGGGGUAUUAAAAACUUGAACUCGUGCUUUGGAAUAA